GGCCGCGGUAUUUUGACCGUGCGAAGGUAGCGCAAUCACUUGUCUUUUAAAUGGAGACCUGUAUGAAUGGCUUAACGAGGGCUUAACUGUCUCCUUUUUCCAGUCAAUGAAAUUGAUCUCCCCGUGCAGAAGCGGGGAUGUGAACAUAAGACGAGAAGACCCUAUGGAGCUUUAGACACCAAGGCAGAUCAUGUCAAAAACCCCCGUAUAAGGGAUGAAACAAAAUGAACCCUGCCCGCAUGUCUUUGGUUGGGGCGACCGCGGAGUAAUAAAUAACCCCCGUGUGGACCGGGAGCACUGCUCCUAAAAACAAGAACCGCAAUUCUAACUAACAGAACUUCUGACCUGUAAGAUCCGGCAAUGCCGAUCAACGGACUGAGUUACCCUAGGGAUAACAGCGCAAUCCCCUCUAAAAGACCAUAUUGACGAGGGGGCUUACGACCUCGAUGUUGGAUCAGGACAUCCUAACGGUGCAGCCGCUGUUAAGGGUUCGUUUGUUCAACGAUUAAAGUCCUACGUGAUCUGA
rnacentral:rRNA from 1 species